UUUUAGGGAGACCCAUCAAGUCAAAAGAGCAAAGUAAAAAGUAAAAAGGAUGGAAAGUAUUUCUUUGAACUUUUGCCUUUUAGCCUUUAACUUGAUCUACCCUAGGUCGUUCGAGAAUUGGCUUUGGCUUCAAACUAUUAUCCGAUUCGGAUUAAUAAAAAAUUACAACAAGUAAGAACAUAUACAGACAGCAACUAAAGUUAGUGAUAUAACUAAGCCUGCUGGAUGUAUGUCCAGUAAAGAACCUUGAAAACUGCAUAGUGACGCAAAUUGUAGGCAGUAACCGUCUUAAUUACAGAAGUAAUUAUUACGGGUAUUGAAUUACAGACAAAUCCUUUGAAUUGAUGAAAUU
rnacentral:misc_RNA from 1 species